GUCAUUUUGAGUUCGUUGAAAUUAUCGAAGUUUGAGGUACCGCUACUUCUUUAAUGGUUAAUCCGUUUUAUCUUGGGAGGAAUUAAUCUGCAACCUCGGGUACUUGAGGGGAUUAAAUUUCUUAAGGACACACAGUGGGUUCUGUGGACUCGGAUAGUUCUUUGUGUUUUUCUUUUCAUCUUUUAUUAUUUCUGGUUUGCUAAUCUGAAUACAGGAGAUAACAAGCUUAAGAAAUUUAAUGUUGGUAUUUUCUGUGGUAAGGAAAUUACUUCUAUUUUCUAUGUUCUUUUUAUGGGGAAAGAAAAACAAGAAAAAGAGAAUUAUUUUAUCAUAUGAUAAAAGAGAUUUGGGAUGAAUUAGUACUACUUUA
rnacentral:lncRNA from 1 species